rnacentral:ribozyme from 14 species
GAAAAAAAAAAAAAAAAAAAAAAACAUCAAAUAGGACAUAGAUUCGAA